rnacentral:ribozyme from 15 species
CAAAUGUAAAAAGAGAGGCCUUUGAUGAAAUUUGUAAGCAUUUCUCUCCGGCUUUUCGUUUUUUUUUUUCUUGAACGCUUUUCUCACUCUCCUCAAGCGUGGCAU